GGCGGGAUGUGCCGACGGCACGGAUUCAGGAUUUUGACUCAUAAUCCGGAGGUCAGUGGUUCGAAUCCACUCCCCGCUA
rnacentral:tRNA from 1 species